GUUCAGCUGACGAGUCCCAAAUAGGACGAAACGUGCGUCCUGCAU
rfam:Schistosoma curassoni strain Dakar, Senegal genome assembly, scaffold: SCTD_scaffold0003003